GGUCUGGCGGCGAGUGGCGAACGGGUGAGUAAUGUAUCGGAACGUGCCCAGUAGCGGGGGAUAACUACUCGAAAGAGUAGCUAAUACCGCAUACGCCCUACGGGGGAAAGGGGGGGAUCUUAGGACCUCUCACUAUUGGAGCGGCCGAUAUCGGAUUAGCUAGUUGGUGGGGUAAAGGCUCACCAAGGCGACGAUCCGUAGCUGGUUUGAGAGGACGACCAGCCACACUGGGACUGAGACACGGCCCAGACUCCUACGGGAGGCAGCAGUGGGGAAUUUUGGACAAUGGGGGCAACCCUGAUCCAGCCAUCCCGCGUGUGCGAUGAAGGCCUUCGGGUUGUAAAGCACUUUUGGCAGGAAAGAAAUCGCACGGAAUAAUACUCUGUGUGGAUGACGGUACCUGCAGAAUAAGCACCGGCUAACUACAUGCCAGCAGCCGCGGUAAUACGUAGGGUGCAAGCGUUAAUCGGAAUUACUGGGCGUAAAGCGUGCGCAGGCGGUUCGAAAAGAAAGAUGUGAAAUCCCAGGGCUUAACCUUGGAACUGCAUUUUUAACUCUCGAACUAGAGUGCGUCAGAGGGGGGUGGAAUUCCGCGUGUAGCAGUGAAAUGCGUAGAUAUGCGGAGGAACACCGAUGGCGAAGGCAGCCCCCUGGGAUGACACUGACGCUCAUGCACGAAAGCGUGGGGAGCAAACAGGAU
rnacentral:rRNA from 1 species